GUGGGGAAUAUUCCGCAAUGGACGAAAGUCUGACGGAGCAACGCCGCGUGAGUGAUGAAGGUUUUCGGACUGUAAAGCUCUGUUGUUUAGGACGAAAGUGCCUGUUGCGAACAGUUACAGGUAUUGACGGUACUAAACGAGGAAGCCACGGCUAACUACGUGCCAGCAGCCGCGGUAAUACGUAGGUGGCAAGCGUUGUCCGGAAUUAUUGGGCGUAAAGAGCAUGUAGGCGGAGAUUUAAGUCUGUUGUGAAAAUGCGGGGCUCAACCCCGUAUUGCGAUGGAAACUGAAUUUCUUGAGUGCAGGAGAGGAAAGGGGAAUUCCCAGUGUAGCGGUGAAAUGCGUAGAUAUUGGGAGGAACACCAGUGGCGAAGGCGCCUUUCUGGACGAUGUCUGACGCUGAGGCGCGAAAGCUAGGGGAGCGAACGGGAUUAGAUACCCCAGUAGUCC
rnacentral:rRNA from 1 species